AAGGGCACCACAAGAACGCGUGGAGCAUGUGGCUUAAUUUGACUCAACGCGGGAAAUCUUACCGGGUCCGGACACACUGAGGAUUGACAGGUGUUUGCAGAAUACUUAUAUUGUGUAGCUUCUUAGUUAUAUAGUAUAUUUUCUGCUUUAAAUAUGCUAGUCCUUUCAUGAUUGUGUGAUAGGUGGUGCAUGGCCGUUCUUAGUUCGUGGAGUGAUCUGUCUGCUUAAUUGCGUUUCACAUUGGAUUUUACAAUAAUGUUAUUGAGAAAUCUUUUAAGCGUGACACUCUUAUUUGUUUACAUUUAGGAUUGCUGUCCGUUUAAUUUUUUCGGUAACAUGAUAGAAUCCCGAAGGCAACGAACGUGACCG
rnacentral:rRNA from 1 species